AUUGAACGCUGGCGACGUGCUUAACACAUGCAAGUCGUGCGAGAAAGGAGGCUUCGGUCUCUGAGUAGAGCGGCGCACGGGUGAGUAACGCGUGGAUGAUCUACCCUUGAGUUCGGGAUAACGGUGCGAAAGCGCCGCUAAUACCGUAUAACAAUCCAUUUCAUCGUGGGUUCAAAGCAGGCCUCUUCAUGAAAGCUUGCGCUUGGGGAUGAGUCCGCGUCCCAUUAGCUUGUUGGCGGGGUAACGGCCCACCAAGGCUACGAUGGGUAGCUGGUCUGAGAGGAUUAUCAGGCACAAUGGAACUGGGACACGGUCGCGACUCCUACGGGAGGCAGCAGUGGGGAAUAUUGCGCAAUGGGGGAAACCCUGACGCAGCGACGUCGUGUGAGGGAAGAAGGCCUUCGGGUCGUAAACCUCUGUCAGAAGGGAAGAACAACCGGGAGUCGAACAGCCUCUCGGUCUGACGGUACCUUCAGAGGAAGCGCCGGCUAACUCCGUGCCAGCCGCCGCCGUAACAC
rnacentral:rRNA from 1 species